rnacentral:lncRNA from 1 species
AUGGACCACAGGGCUUCUGUUCUGGUUGCUACUGCUAGUUUAAAAAAAACAACACCGAACAAAAAAACGCUGCCAGCUUUGUUGAAGCCCAGAGAAUCUUCAUCCCCCAAAAUAAUACGUUUGUUUAUAGAGGAUGAUUUCGUUAAUUUACUACACACCAGGCCGGCAUCCGGUGACACUCCCGGUCUAUGUGAGGGGUGGGUUUGUGUCUGGAUUUCCUUCGAGGAGGGGACGUGUUCCAGCCCGUGUGGUUGCAGGGUGGGGGCGGGCAGGGCGGAGGGAGGCACUGAGGGGGUGGGGUGGGGGGGGGAGGGGGGCAGAGGGAGGAGAAGCAGACUUCCCGGGGAGGAGGGACCUCGAUGCCUGAAAUGGGCCUUGAUCCCAGACAUCAUGACCCGAGCGGAAGGCAGUCGCUUAACAGACUGAGCCACCCAAGCACCCCACCAUUAGCUUGCUCUGAUGCUGUCUCAGAUGGCUGCUGCCGGGGGUCGAAUUGCGCCCCCCAAAAGAUUCGUUUCAGUCUUAACCUCCAGGACCUGGGAAUGUGACCUUCCUUGGACUGGGACCUUUGCACAUGUCAUCAGUGUAAUCCAGUCUGACCUUUGCUUCGAGAACUGGGUUCACUGGGUUCAAGAUCAUUCCCUUUGCUUCCCGAGUUAACUGAUUUCAAGAGGUCAAACUGUGUAUUGUGGCUUUUCCCAGACUGGCUGAUUCAAACCGCUGUUGGAGCCAGAAAAGAGGGGAAAAAAGAUUAUUGACUAAGAAACAUUAAUUUCUGUUGCAAAUGACUCGUUGGGGCAGGUUGUUGAUUAUCUCAACUCUGUUGCCAUUUGUAUUUAGAAAUGGCUCAUAAAUUUGCUUACGUGGGUCUGGUUUGUCCUCCAAAAUGAAGCGACUGUGCGGCAAACAGCCCCCGAGCCAGACGGCGGCCCGACAGCUUCCAUCCCCGGGAGCUCUGACCGCCUGCUGCGGAGCCGGGGGCCCUGCCUCUGUGACCGGUGGUUUGCUCAGGAGCUGGGUGAGCUCCAUGUGACCGACGGGGAGACUGAGGUGGGGGAUAGCCGAGGAAGUCAGACACCGGAGGCCACAGAGCUCAUCUGUGUGCGAGCUGACUUUCCCACUGCUUCUUCAGACCCGAGACUCUUUCCUGCCCUGCUUGUCUUUGUGCUCGCUGCCAACAAGUUCCUAAUCAGAUGACGGAGAAAAACAAACAUAGCCAUUCCCACUGGGAUGCGUGUUUGAUAGACUAGUGUGUGUGUGUUUGUGUGUGUGUGUGUGUGUGCACGCGUGCGUGCACGCACUUGUGCGGAAGGUCAGUGCGUGUGUGUCAUUGUCUUCAAGAACACUGACCAUCGCUAAUGUUGAAAAAUUUCCUAAACCACCUUUCCUGCCAGGUCAAUAAAUUGAGCUCCUCAGGUAAAUCACCUGGCUUAUCUCCAGUCUGUUUAAGAACCUUUUAAACCCUACAGAUACCUCUGCCCCUCUACACCUCCCCGGGGUGGGGGCUGGCUGCCCUCAGAUGGGUCCUGCAGCCAGGACUCAGCUUGUCCUGUGGCUGAGUCAGGAGAAGCUUCCGUGGGCCCAGAGGAAAGUGGGAGGAGAAGCUGGGGGGACUCGGUACCGUGCAGAAAAGGACCCGCCCCCCGCUUUUCUCUACCAGCUCCCCGAAGGACAGAGGCAUGGCGCCAGCGUGAGUCUGUGCCCUUUUCCCAGAGUGUGGUUGAUGCCCGGCUGAUCUCUCAAUGAUUAACCGUGCAACCUUGGGCACACUGUGUCGUCUCCUGGGCCACCUGCAAAGGCCGCGUGGCCUCCUGGGAGUUCAGCUCAUAGAUUGCACACGACACGCCCUGCAGUGCAUCUGGAGGCCUUUGCCCUGGCCGGACCCCCUGCCCAGACCCCCUGCCCAGACGUCUACACUGCCUGCUUUGUGCUCCUGUGUCAUCUGUACUCGAAAGUCCCUAAUAGGGUUUCUUUGCCUCGAUGGUCCCAACGAUGGUGCCCCUCCCCCUGGCAUUUUAUUUUCUCAUCCUCUGCCUUAUUUUUCUUCUCAGCACUUACCAGAAUCCAAAAGAUGAUAUACGUCUUAUUUCUUUGGUUUAUUGUCUUCUCCUGUCAGGAAGGCAGGGGUCUCUGUUUCCUGGGCUGCGGCUCCUGCUCUCCCCAGCACUUGGAACGGGGCCUGGUCCCUGUACUUGCUCUCUCUGCGCUGAGUGAGCUUCCCGGGUGAGUAAGGGAGUAGGCUUAGCUUUGGAGGGCUCUGCUCCUCAGAGAAUGAAUGACAAGACGGACGGUAGCCCUCACGAGCUGGUCGGUACGCACUGAGCGAGAGCUCCUGGUACUGCUGCCAUGAUUGGUACGUGCCUCGCCUGCCAUUCAGGGGCCUCGGAUCGUCCCGCAGCACGUGAGCAGGGGCUGAGUCUGCUCAGGGCACAGCGAAGCAGAGAAACUGCGGUCCGAGGAGGCAGCAGGUCGCCCCUCUUUGCCCCACCCCUGCCCGUGCCCGGUGUGCAUCCCCACACGGGGAAGGAAGAGCCCAGGCACUGGAGUUUUCUUUUUCCUGCUGUCUGAUUCCAGGCAGGGCAGGAGAGGGGUGCCGUGGGGGCCCUGCUCCCAGCGCUGCUGCCGCCCCCUGUGGGUCCACGUCUCCGCCAGGCUGGGGCCAGGGCCUCGUCCCUGUCUUCCUGCACCCGGGCACGUCCCGGGCAGCCUGCGGUUGGGCCGCGUCUCCGGGCCAGGACUUUCAGGAAUGCUCCCUCUUGACCACACAAGCGAGGCCACACAUGCCCGAUUGUGGUGAACUCUGAACUCUCUGAAGGAGCGUGAACCUCACACGGCGCCCUCAGUAAGGCUUUGUUGCCUUAAAUCUCACCCACUCCCCUCGCUCAAGGGGCUCGUUAACUGUUCGCACUUCUGUUGCUCAUUGUUCAGAAUCUUUGUGUUCUGUCUUUUAACUGGGGUAUGUGUCUUUUUUUCAAGUUUUUGGUAAGGGUUUCAUUUCUGAGAUUAAAAAAAUUGUUCAUCCUUUCUCAAAUCCCAUGUUGUGAACCCGCAUCAUCUUUUCUCAGCCUCUCAGUUUUCCGUGGGGCAUCUCUCUGACAUACCGAAGUUUUACAUUUUCCCGUGGUCAGAUCUGAGCAUCUUGAUUAGUUGCUUCUUAAUGAAAUGUCUGAGUUAGUGAUUUAAGAAAUUCUUCCAAAUUUCAAGACUGGGCAAACGUUCCCCACUGGGUUUUUGUUUGUUUGUUUGUUUGUUUUAAACAUGUAACUGUAGAAUUAAUUUUUGGUGGAAAGUAUGAGAUGAGGCCUAAUGCAGUUCUUUCCCUCCAAGUAGCUAGCAAAAUUAUCUAGUAGGAUUCAUUGACUAACGUUCCCUUUUCCUGCCACUUUAAAAUAUCACCAUUAUCACAUACCGGAACUUCCAAGUGCGUGCCGAAGUCUCACCCAGGCUUUCCGUUACCCAGCACCGUACUGUUUACGUUUUCUAGACUCACGGUGUUUGGAAGGCAAACCUUCAUUCCGUCGAUGGAGGAACAGAGGCACAGAGAGGUCAAGCCUCUGCCCAGUCACACAGCUCGCUGGAGGCUCCAGAUCUCCAAUGCGUAUAAUUUCCAGCGUAUUCGAUCGUCUCAUAGGUGAUGUCUCCGCGUUCCUGUCUGUGCUUUUGAUGUCACGUUUGCUCACGGCCUAUCCCUUGGGUGCGUUUUUUCUUUUGAAGCAGCCGUGGUAAGUUCUCUCUCUGUCUAGGUGGAACUCGUUAGGAUGAGAUGUGUCUGGGCGGCGUAUUCAGCUAAGGCGCUGACUUGGUUUCCGCUCAGGGCAGGAUGCCAGGGUCGUGGCAUCGAGCCCCAUGUCAGGCUCCACACUCAGCAGGGAGUCUGCUUGGAACUCUGCCUCCUCCUCUGCCCUGCCCCCUGCCUGUGCGCAUGCACAUGUGAUCUCUCUCUUUCUAAAAUAAAUAAAUAAUUUUUUUUUAAAAAAAAA